GACGAACGCUGGCGGCGUGCUUAACACAUGCAAGUCGAACGGAAAGGCCCUGCGCUUGUGGGGUGCUCGAGAGGCGAACGGGGGAGUAACACGUGAGUAACAUGCCCUUGUCUUUGGGAUAACUUCAGGAAACAGGGGCGAAUACCGGAGAGGAGCUCCUGCAGCACGGGGGGGGAUGGUAAGAUUCGGCGGUUGGGGCUGGAUUAGCGGGUUAUCAGCUUGAUGGGCAGGUAGGGGCGUACCACGGCUUUGAAGGGUAGCCGGCCUGAGAGGGUGACCGGCCACCUUGGGCCUGAGAUACGGCCCAGUCUCCUACGGGACGCAGCAGUGGGGAAUAUUGCGCAAUGGGCGGACGCCUGAUGCAGCGGCGCCGCGUGCGUGAUGCCGUCCUUCGGGUUGUAAACCGCUUUCGCCUUUGCCGAGGCGUGAGUGACGGUAAUGGGUAAGAAAGCCCCGGCUAACUACGUG
rnacentral:rRNA from 1 species